UACGUAGGGCGCAAGCGUUAUCCGGAAUUAUUGGGCGUAAAGAGCUCGUAGGCGGUUUGUCGCGUCUGCCGUGAAAGUCCGGGGCUCAACUCCGGAUCUGCGGUGGGUACGGGCAGACUAGAGUGAUGUAGGGGAGACUGGAAUUCCUGGUGUAGCGGUGAAAUGCGCAGAUAUCUGGAGGAACACCGGUGGCGAAGGCGACAUCCUGGACCGGUAUUGACGCUGAGGCGCGAAAGCCAGGGGAGCAAACGGG
rnacentral:rRNA from 1 species